GUGUCAGCAGCCGCGGUAAUACGGAGGGUGCAAGCGUUGUUCGGAAUUACUGGGCGUAAAGCGCGCGUAGGCGGCUUUUUAAGUCAGAUGUGAAAGUCCAUGGCUCAACCAUGGAAGUGCAUUUGAUACUGAAAGGCUUGAGUACUGGAGGGGAUGGUGGAAUUCCCGGUGUAGAGGUGAAAUUCGUAGAUAUCGGGAGGAAUACCGGUGGCGAAGGCGACCAUCUGGCCAGAUACUGACGCUGAGGUGCGAAAGCGUGGGGAGCAAACAGGAUUAGAUACCCCUGUAGUCC
rnacentral:rRNA from 1 species